UUGCUUAUAUGGCAGGGGAGGUUCCACGCUCAAGAAUGUGGUCCUUCGAGGCCGAGGCUCCGCAUUUCGGUCGGGCUGACUGCUGCGAAUUCCUCAAACGGGGGAAUCUCGACCGCAUAACCUCUGAAAUUGGGAGACGCAGUCACACUCUCCUU
ensembl:snRNA U1 U1 spliceosomal RNA